rnacentral:lncRNA from 1 species
CUUCUCAUCACCCAAGCUUAAAAUUAGACUUAUGUUUCCAUUUUAGGUCCUCCAUUGUGCAUUACACCUAGGACUAUCAUCCUUCAGUAUUGCUACUUGGCCUCUUCCCACCUUUUCGUCAUAAUUCCUAUCAAAGGGUCCUGCCAUAAUCCCUCUAGGAUUUUUCAGACCCUGCUAUAUUUAUCCACCAGGGAAAUCUGCACUUGAAAUGGUGAU